UUUAACCUGCCAUGCAUUCUUUUCUUUGGUUUUCUGCCACGCAGUUUCAAACCUACCAUUCUCACGAGAGAGGUCGACGGGUGGUUCGAGAGGACUUGGUUUGCUUUAGCCAGCCAACCUAACUACACGCCUACAGCAACGACGUGCGACACUCGUCUCCGGUCCCUCUCUGCUCCAGGUGUGCCGCGCGACAUGUAUUCUGCCGUCUCCGCUACGAGCCACCGGCCGGUGGCAGCCGCCACUGGCCUUCUGUUCCUGGCCGUUGCCAUGCAUCAACACAUCGCUGCAGGAGCCGCACCAACUGCUGGUGCUGCUGUGCAACACGUCGUCGGAGGUGACCCGGGGUGGGACGUGGCCUCCGACGUGCUUGCCUGGGCAGCGGACACGCACUUCGCGGUCGGAGACACCCUCUGGUUCAAGCACGAGGCGGCGUGGCGGAGGUGGGAGGCGAUGCAGGAGCGGGCUGAAGCUGCGCGUCCACGUGGCGGCGUCUGCCGCUUAGAGCUGCAACUUUGUGAACCUGAGAGUCACCGUAUUGCACCUCUACUGCCGCGUCGCCGCGGGGUGGAGGAAGAAGACCAAGCCGCCGCAAAGGCGCCCGCGCCGUCGGCUUCGAGUGGCGCCCCAGGCGUGGCGGCAGUGGCACCUCUGCCGAUGCGCCGUGUGUUGCUUUUGGUCUUCGUUUGGUGCUUCCUGUUGCUGGGUGUGUAGGGAAAUGAUCAUUUCGUGUGGUACUGCUUCUUGUUCCUGGGUGUAUGAAGGUGAUCAGUCCUUGAGGUGAUCGUGUUUGAUCCGGUUGUGAUGCUGUGCAGUGAGACGCGUAUGGUUUGGUAUCCUACAUGUGCCCGUUUCCCUUCACGAAUAAAUGUACCGAGAGUAGCUUGAUGCUCUAUUUCAUAGCAGAAAGCCAGACGAGCUGUCGCA